AGCGAGCGCUGGCGGCAGGCCUAACACAUGCAAGUCGAACGAACCUUUCGGGGUUAGUGGCGGACGGGUGAGUAACACGUGGGAACGUGCCUUUAGGUUCGGAAUAACUCAGGGAAACUUGUGCUAAUACCGAAUGUGCCCUUCGGGGGAAAGAUUUAUCGCCUUUAGAGCGGCCCGCGUCUGAUUAGCUAGUUGGUUGAGGUAAUGGCUCACCAAGGCGACGAUCAGUAGCUGGUCUGAGAGGAUGAUCAGCCACAUUGGGACUGAGACACGGCCCAAACUCCUACGGGAGGCAGCAGUGGGGAAUCUUGCGCAAUGGGCGAAAGCCUGACGCAGCCAUGCCGCGUGAAUGAUGAAGGUCGUAGGAUUGUAAAAUUCUUUCACCGGGGACGAUAAUGACGGUACCCGGAGAAGAAGCCCCGGCUAACUUCGUG
rnacentral:rRNA from 1 species